GCCCUGGUGGCGUAACGAUUAAGCACUCAGCUGUUAAGUGAAAGGUCGGUGGUUUGAACCCACCCCGUGGUU
rnacentral:tRNA from 1 species